CAUGGGACUAUUCGCUUUAUUUUUUAUUUUAUUUUAUUAUUUGACAGAGUGGACAGUGAGAGAGAGAGACAGAGAUAAAGGUCUUCCUUUACUGUUGGUUCACCCCCCCAAUGGCCGCUGCGGCCGGCGCACUGCGCUGAUCCAAAGUCAGGAAUCAGGUGCUUCUCCUGGUCUCCCAUGGGGUGCAGGGCCCAAGCACUUGGGCCAUCCUCCACUGCACUCCCGGGCCACAGCAGAGAGCUGGCCUGGAAGAGGAGCAACCGGGACAGAAUCCGGCGCCCUGACCGGGACUAGAACCCGGGGUGCUGGCGCCGCAGGCUAAGGAUUAGCCUAUUGAGCCGAGGCACUAGUCGGGACUGUUCGCUUUAAAUUAGUGGCCUGUGAAUUAUAUCCCAAGACGGCUGUCGUUUAAAAAGGGAGGGGCUUCUAAAGCCCGCGACGCCCAGGUGGUAAGUGACAGAGGAAGGGGAUUUCAUCUGCUUCUUGUUGGGACUUCGGAAUUCAGCUUCCAGGCAGUGUGGGCUGUGCGGAGGGAGUGGAGCGAGUCAGGGCCUCUGCCUACAGAGAGACAGCCGGGGCCGACGCCACUCGUAUAGAGUGUACCUCCAGCUGCACGCCGGCGGUGUGUGGGUUCACAGACCCAGGCCUGGUGCUGGGCCAUCCUCUCCCCUCAUGGGGUGCCCACUCAUGUGGUCCCGUAGCCAGAGCGCUGGAGGCCAUGGAGCCACUGCCCCCAGAUAGGCAUCACUCAUUGAUCCCACUGCUCCAAGGCACUGAGCUGUUGCCUAUAAAUUAUAAAUCUCUUCAGGAAUCCUAGUAGAAAUUCAAAGCAAAAAUUAAAUCAUUGGGGCAUUUUUUUUUUACUUCAAAGAAUCUAUGUAUACCUAAUAAUAAUAAUUUGUUUACGUUGCUCUCUGUAUCUCCUGUAAGCCUGUAGAAUGGUUGUCAACAUUGCCACUUACAUAUGAGGGCACUGAGGCCCGAAGGAGGGAAAGUCUGGAAAAGUCCCCUAAACUCUUCUGCCUCCAAGUCUGGCCUGCUUCCUUGUGUGCCGUCGGCUUCUCUCAGUUGCUGAGAUGUGCGACAUCACUGGGCCCACAGUGGCACGUCAGAAGUGUCUCGCCUCCUGCGCAAUGCACUUGACCUCUGCCUGGCACAGCAGAGAGCAUGGCGUAAGGAGCCCUCUGCAGUGCGGUCCUGUGUUUUCUCCCCGUGAACAAGCAGGUGCAUAGACCCUUGCCUCUGUCUGUAGUUCCUGUCUGGACAGCCCCACUGGGAAUUUGGGGAAAGACUCAGGCAGAAGUGGUUUUGCCUCUGCGCCCCAAUGAUGAAUGUGGGGCCAGUUCUGAAGUCGUGGUCAGAAGGAAACCUUGUGAACCAACCAUUCAUCCUGGUUACUCAUGGUUACUCGUCACCCGCCAGCUUCCUGCUCCCUGAACAGAGUGUGUCCCAUUGGAUUCAGGAGCUGAGUCACUCUUGGGAACUUCUGAUUCAACGUCAGUGGCUCCUUCCAGUUCCCAGCCAGGGGGCUGCUCUCCAGCAUGGAUCCAGGAGCCCAGCCCGGAUGUGUAGACCUUGUGUUUGAAUUUGUUGGGUGUGGCUCUGUUUUGAGACUUUAGUUGCUACACUCUGCUGUGGGUUACCCAUUUGUUUCUGGGCUCGCUGCCUUUUUUUUUUUUUGACAGGCAGAGUGGACAGUGUGAGAGAGAGAGACAGAGAGAAAGGUCUUCCUUUGCCGUUGGUUCACCCUCCAAUGGCCGCCGCAGCUGGCGCGCUGCAGCCGGUGCACCGCGCUGAUCCGAUGGCAGGAGCCAGGUGCUUCUCCUGGUCUCCCAUGGGGUGCAGGGCCCAAGCACUUGGGCCAUCCUCCACUGCACUCCCUGGCCACAGCAGAGGGCUGGCCUGGAAGAGGGGCAACCAGGACAGAAUCCGGUGCCCCGGCCGGGAUAGAACCCGGUGUGCCGGCGCCGCAAGGUGGAGGAUUAGCCUAGUGAGCUGCGGCGCCAGCCUCGCUCUUUUUGAGUUCAGCUAUGGAACAGAACUCUGCUAUUUGUUCUUCUCUGGAACCAUCUUGGGGAUGGUUAAUACAUGGGAGGCAACAGGAGGCAAAACCUCAUUUUGACUUUCCAGCAAGUUGCUUGGCAAUGGCACCAAAUUCGUUCUUAAGAUGACUGUUGUCAAUUUUCAUUUCAUCCUUAGCCAGCCAUGUUUUUGUAAACAAUUGUAUAGCGUGGGGAACAGCAUAUGAUUUUUCCCCAAAAAAGCAUCCUCCUGUUGGAUGGUGAGGCUCUGAGGGCCAUGCUCGAGGUCAGAGUCAGCCCAUUGUCCCUGUGGCAAAGCCACUGGAUGGCUCACACGUGGGCCUAUGUGUGUUUGUCUAUGGGGAUUGGAAUAAUCUUAUUGCAUGCUGGAUUUACCUUCCUUGGGAAUUUAUUUCCUUUUUUAUUUCUAAUGUGUUUUCUGCAUUUCCUCAUAGUUAUUUCCAUGCUCUGCCUCAAGCUUUGAUAAAUAUGAAUUUUUCAGAAAGCAGAGAGAAAUGCAUUAUACUGAUUAUGCCACUCAUUUGUGGCUGUUCUUCUACUUUAUAUUAAUGAAAAUAUGGAAUUAAAACUUUUCCUUUGGCUUUUUAUUCUUUAGCAUGCUUCAUGUUUGUGUUUGGCUUUCCGUCUCUUCAUUGAAUUUUUGAUCUCUGAAAUAGCAGUUCAGAAUAGCUACCAGUGGUGUAUGUGUCAGCAGCAGAGCUUGUUGCCAAGCCUACAGAGUGAAUGGAUUCCUUCUUCGCAUGAGAAAAGCCUGCAUAGCCUAGCGUAUGUGUAGAACUGAGAGCGAGAGCUGGAGUUGGGAUCUGUGAUGGAUACCAUCAGGAUGACAGCUUCCAGUAGAUUUGGAAUCACAUUAGGUUCAAUGUAGGUCACCGCUGCUGCCUGAUAAAGCCAUGCCAUUCGCAUCUCUGCAUGGUCUCGAGAGAGCACCGAGGGUCACCCUCUGGCCCUUGUGAACUCCUUGCUGUGACCCACACUUGCACACCCUCCUUCUUGCCUGGCUCCCAAAGCGCGCCUUCCCACCUGCCAAGAACACUCUGCCUCUCCUGCUCUCUGGGAAGCUGUCUUGAGUCUGGAGCAGCCGCAGUCCUCUCCAAGGACGUGCACCGAUUCUACCUGAGCACACAUGCUGGUUGGUGAGUUCAUGGAUCCGCGCCCUCCGCCUUGGGCUGAGGAGCUUUUCUGUGCCACAAACCUCUUUGGCAGCUGAUGAGGCCUAUGAAUUUCCUGUUCCAAUCAUGUUUUUUGGAGCAACAAAUAAAAACCCGGUGGGUUCUGGUUCAGGGGAAGAGGAAGCAUUCGCCUUCCUAGAGAAUGCUGCAGUGAAAACUCACACGGGAUGCAUGGGGUAGCUACUCCAGGACCCUGAAAAGCAAAUAGGAGUUGGCAGGUUGAACAAGGAGACAGGAUUUCAAAUGCUGCUGAGUUACCAUGUUGGAUUCAGGGCAGCCUGCAAUCCAGAGGUAGGCAGUGACUCAGGAGAGUGGGCAGUGGUAUAGACAGCCCCAGAAGAACUGUCUAGUCUGGCUUGGGGGAGCAGCAAGGAGUGGAGGAAUCCCUUGUUGUGUUUUGUUGCUUUCUUCCUCCUCUUGGGCCUCAGCCCUCAGACAAUCUUGCAUGGCUGGGGUAAAACAGUUUGUAGGAGCCUAAAGCUUUGAGGGAAGAGGAGUCGCAGUUCCAAGAGGGUGGGGGGAGUCCCCAAAGCUUGUUUUCCCCCUCUCCGUCCUCACUUGUUCCUGUACACAGACAUAGUUGUGAGGAGCCUGUAGCAGAACAGUUAAGUAAAGCCCCUGAUUUCUAGCCAGAGAACCAGAAACUGAAGCCUCUGGGAACUGGAAAGGAUGAGGGGUGGGGUGGUGGGGAGAGAGGGGGACAGAGAGAGAAGCUAGGGUAAGCAACCCUAUAAAGUUGUUUAUGAACUUCUGGACUCACCCAUGAGAUGCACAAGAAUAGACUUGACCCUGAGUAACAUACUGUAGACCUUGAGAACGGAACUGCAAAAUAAACCAUUGCCCAGGUCCCAGGCCGGUCACUGGAGAGUGAAUAUAUACACAGGGGCAGAGUGGAAGUCCUGGCAAACAGAGCUGAUACAGGAACCACAGCCUGGAGAAGAGCUGUUGGAACUGUGACCUGGACGCAGCGUUCUCCACAAGAUUUGGAGAAGAUCUAGUCUUCCAAUCAUCCAAACAUCAAGGAAGCAAUAAAAAAAUUAGUAAGUACGUUUGAAGAACUCGGAAAGUCUCAACUUGUACGGGAAAAGACAGAUGCCAAGUGCUGCGAUGACAUUGAAUUUAAAGCAGUGAUUAUACAAACACUUCAACAUGUACAGGCAAACGUUUUUGAAAUGAAUGAAAACAUAAAAUGUCUUAGAAAAUACAAAGAAUACCCAAAAGAAGUUUUAGAAAUGAAAAUAUUGUAACAAAUAUAAUUCACACUGCAUGGACACAGAAGCAAAGUUAGACAACAAAGGAGAGAAUCAGUGGACUUCAAUAUAAUUUCUAAUUUUAAAAUCUGAGCAACAAAGAGGAAAGGGAUUGAGUCUGUGGAAAAAUGACAAAAAGUUUAACAACCUUGUCAUAGGAGUCCUAGGAAAAAAGCACAACGAUUAUAAUCAUCAAAAAAAUUUGAAGAAACAAUGGCUGGAAGUGACCAACAUGGAGAAAAACAUACACCUAUUGAUUCAAGAAGUUUAGAAAAUCUUAGAUAAACUCAAAUAACUCCAUGCCCAGACACAGCCUUAGCAAAGUGCUGAAAACUAAAGAAAAAAGCAAAACAUAUUUAAAGCAUCCAGAGAAAAACAACAACACAUUGCUCACCAGGAACAAUCCACGUAACAGCAGGUUUCUCCAGAAUGACACGAACAUGUUUAAGGUGUGCAAAGAAAGGAGUUGUCAGCCCACGAGCCUCAGUGAAACACCCGCAGGAGGAGUUGUCAGCCCACGAGCCUCAGUGAAACACCCGCAGGAGGAGUUGUCAGCCCACGAGCCUCAGUGAAACACCCGCAGGAGGAGUUGUCGGCCCACGAGCCUCAGUGAAACACCCGGCAGGAGGAGUUGUCAGCCCCCGAGCCUCAGUGAAACACCCGGCAGGAGUUGUUGUCAGCCCACGAGCCUCAGUGAAACACCCGGCAGGAGGAGUUGUCAGCCCCCGAGCCUCAGUGAAACACCCUGCAGGAGUGACGGGGAGCUGACCACACUGUUGGGUGAAGGAGAACAGAGGCUGCAUCUUCGCCAGCUGUUGCUGCAGGAAGUUCUUUAGACAGAUGGGAAAUGACACCAGGAGGGAAAUUGGAAUAUCAAAAAAAAUGAAGGACAAGCAAUAUAAAUGGUAAAUACCGGGGUGGACUGGUACAUAAUGGGCAUUGGAUUAGAAGAAUAAAUGAAUGAAAAAACUGAAUUAAACAGAUAACCACACACUGAGAGACUGCAAGAUAAAUGGAAGGACAGGCGCUGGGUGCAGUGGGCAGGAGGAAGGAGCCAGGAGAGCGCUCAGAAGGUUCUGGAAGAGCAGAGACCGGAUGAGGUGCUACCCUUUGCUGACCGUGUCAUGUCCCAGCAGUCUCCGUGACAGCCUGUGGGAGGAGUAAAAGAUGGAGGCACCUGACUCAGCAAGUGCAUCCAAGCUGCCCUUGAAGUUUUCCAUAAACUUUUUCGAGUCCCCUUGUAUGAGCCAAGGAGACAGCAUGUGAGCGUGAGGCUGUGUGUGUGCUUGGAGCAGGAGAAUAGCAGGGGACCAAAAAGUCUUAAAGUUAAGUAAAAUUUGGAAUCAACAUUUCAAUUAGAUGUGCUUUAUGGGCUGAUGUGAUUUGAGAGCUGAAUAACUGAUUUCAAAAAUAGAUUUCCCUUUCUCUCCAAAGUGCAGACGGGGGCCAAGAAGUGGCAAAAAAUAAAAAUAACCGCAUGCUUUUUCCUGCACUGCUGACUCUCACCCCAAAGGGGUUUCUUGAGGAGGCACCAAUACUUGCUUGGAUGGAAACCCUGGAUAGGCCAGUCGUUAUUUUCAGAUUUAGGGGCUGCAGAUCCCUGGCAGGCGCUGGUGUUUUUCUAGACGAGCAGGCAAGCACUUGGACAAAAAGCCAGAAGCUGAUCCACGUUGCUGGCUCUGGGUUCUUUGUGAACAAACGUGACAAGGUGAGGGGCUGUCCUGCUCACUUCUGUGUUUUGCGAGAAAACGCUUGGUGACCGCCAUCCUGGGGUGCGGGGCUGUUUUCUUGGAAGGCAACAGGCUCUCCCCCUGUUUGCCUGCAGGCUUGCGGCUUCUAUAGGGAGAAGACCCAGGCGGAGUCUGUUUGUUGCCAGCACAACCCACCGAGGGGUCAGAAAUAGCAGGAUUGCUUGCAGAGAGAGAACAAUCACCCGAUUGUCAGAUUAUCCCCCCCCUCCCACUGUUCAUCCAGACGCUGGGUCCCUGGGCCGCCUGGUAGCACAGCUGGGGAUCCUGAGAGGAGCCUGUGGCAGCGUUGCCUCUGUUCUUUCUGUUGCUUCUUGCACUGGAAAAUUCCAUCCCUUACCACUGGGAUUAGAUGUCACCGUUGCUGAAAUCAGACAGAGUCCACUUCAUUUUGCUGCAAGCAUGAGAAACAGCCCUCGAGACUGGGAGAAGAUAGCAUUCCCUUGUAUAAAGAGAGGAUAGAAACGAGGUCAGUGAACCCAAGAGCCGGUAGGUCGCACACCCUCAAGAAGCCACAGAGGUCUUCCCCGGCUUCCUGUCUCUCGCAGCAAAAUGAUGCCUGUUUAAAUCCUAAACAAGCAAAUAAAUAAAAAGUGUUCAAUAUUGGCCAUGACAAUUCUUUGGGCUGGGUGGGGUAUUUGAGGGCUUAUUAUAUCCAGUAUCUGCACUUUACCAUAUUUUCAAAAAAUUUCAAGGAUAGAAAUUUUCGGAAGCUGUGUAAGAUCUGGCUUCCGCUCUAAGGAUUCCAAAGCCCCUGGCGGGGGGCGCCUCGUGCGCAUGUGCAGCAGGCAGUGCGUCUCAGCCUCCAUCAAUUUAGCCGCGUGCUGAGCCCCUGCGGUGGGACUGGCUGUUUUUAACCAAAUGUUCUUUAGUCCAUAUCCUGAGCCGGUCGUUUGUUAAAGACUGGAAGUAUUAGCAACACAGAUGUUGAAACUUGGGUGGGUAAUUCGGGGAAUCACCUCGUGAUGAUGAACUUGAUCCGAGGUAGCGUGUUCCUCACAGGAUGUGUCCCCCUGUGGAUACCUUGAACCUCAGGUGUUGGGAGAAUUUCAGGAAGGAGAGAGGAAAUUAUGUCUAAAUUUUGUUUCUGUUUAUUGAGCGCUAGUUGAUAUUACAAGCACAAAAUGUAAAAGUUUCAGAACUGGGAUCUGAAAGCGAGUUUCGAUACCUCAACUCCGAGUUAAUUUCAUCCUCUAUUGGAAUCUGAGCGCCAGGCGUCACUGAUGAACAGUGAUCCUCAAUGACUUCCUCUUUGUGUGUAUGUGGGGGGGGGGAUUCAGAAAGUUCACAGAAAAUGUGCAUUGUAAAAAAACUACCUGGGUCCCUUUCUUUUGCAUCAAAAUGACCUUAUCCUUUAAUUGCAUUUUUCCACAAACUUUGAAGUACUACGUAUAACUCACGGCCUUGAAAUGGUUGUCAUGAAUUUUUUUGGUUUAGUUACCAUCUCCUAGAACUUCUGGGCAGAAUGCAGUAGGAAUUUCUAGAAAGGGGGAUGUAGGCACAUCUUAGAACACAUUCAUGAAAUGAUAUUCAUCCUCAUAUUUAAUAAUUAAAUAUAUUUGUCUAUUAAAAUGAUACUAACAUGGAAUUUAUAAUACACCUUUUUUCCUCCCAGUUUCUUCUUUUUGCUAAUCACUGUAUUGAACAUCUUCUGUGUGCAGCCCUCAUUUUCUGGCCCAGUUUCUGCACCAGUCAUUGAGGGGCAGCUGGCUGUGUGCUGGGACAACUGGAUGGUGCUGGCAUCACCAUGCGUCUCCCUCUCUUCACUGAGUAUCCCAGCACUCAGGUAGGUGCCACCUGGAGUGAGACAUUCAACCCCCCAGAGGGCAAGCUGGGACCAAAACAGGAUGGAAGUUUGCAGGUAAAUGGGCUCCUUUUUCUGUGCUGAAAGGCAGAGAGACACAGACAAAGAGUUCCAUUUGCUAGUGCACUCCCCCAAGGCCCUGAACAAGAGUGGGGCCGACCAAAGGCUGGAGCCCAGAACUGCCGCUGGGUCUCCCACAAGAUCUCCAUCACUCACUGCCUCCCUAAUGUGCAUUCACUGUAAACUGGCAUCAGAAGUGGAGGCGGGACUCGAACCCACACACUCAGAAGGGAUGCGGGCCUCCUGAGUGGUCAGAAUCACCUGUGCCCAGGCUGGACAUUCUGAGGUGCAUCUGACACAGCUUCUUGGAGGGCUGUCACCGAAGGUGAUCCGGAUCCUGUCGCCGCCUUCUCUUCCCACGCUGUUCCUUCCGGUCCCCCGACACCCAAGGGCUGGGAUCUCGCUCCAAAAUAAUCUUUCUUUGCUAAAGCUCUUGUAGGCACCAUGGUCCGCGGCAAACCCCAGCCAGGAUGCUGAGAUGAUGUCUGGGAGUGAAGACGUGAGCAUGCCCGGCCAAGGGGUUGCCUUGGUCAUCUCUGUGAAUGGGCUUUAGAGGGCGGUGUGGGGAGUGCUGAGCAGAGGCCCCCUGGGAUCACCGAGCUGAGAAUCCAGGCGGCAGCACCCUUCCCCAUCCCCAUUCAGCCCUAACAGGCUUAUGAGACGCACUGGGGGAGUGAGCCAGCAGAUAGAAGCCGUCUCUCUCUCUCUGUCUCUCCCUCUCUCUAACGCUGCCUUUCAAACAAAAUAAAAUAACUCUUCAGUAAAGAACACAGGCACACGUGGAACACGUGGGUUGGGAGCUGCUGCCUGGGAACCUGCCCAUCCCCCCACGGCCCUUUCACAGUCCAUUUCAUGUCCGCCGAGUCCCUGGUCCCUCCUUGGCAAUGGGUGGGAGGCUCCCCGGGGGCCUUGCCAGUGAUGAUGGCUAGGGCGUACCAAGAUGACCUGGACCAAUCCCCCUUUCUCUGCUAAAGACUGAGCUCAGGAGCCCACCGUAUUUGUCCAGUCUGUGCUGGGGAGGAUCACGUGGCUGGCCAUGAGCACGCACACGUCCACACAGCGGAGGCUUCUAGCUGGGUCUCCUGUGGUGGAGGAAAUAUUUUUCCUCUUGGUUUCAGCUGCGUUGAUUCACCAUUCUAUUUUUGUAUUGUACAGAUUCUCAGAGCUGACAGCUGAAAGGCUGGAUUUGGGGGAGUUCGGUAGCCCUAAUGGAAUUAAUUAAUUGAAUAAUAUUGGCUGACAAAUGGCUCCAUUAUACCCAAGAGAACCUGCGACUUAAUUACUGAUGUCAUUUAUCUCUCUGUUUGCACCCCAGCGGUAAGUGACUCGUGUCUCAUUAGCGUUGGGUCAUCUUCCAAAAGGAAGAGUCCAAAAUAUUGGGAAGGGGAGAAGAGAAGGCAGCCUCUUUGUUCCCCCCACUUCAUUAUCCCGAGGAAUCAUAUCAGGCGCUGCUGAUAGGCAGGCUAAUUAGACAGAGGGCUAAUUAGACCGACAGCCUUAACUAUGAGCCUGACUCUGGGCCAACAAUUAGCUCACAAAGAAGUCCCACCAGGAACAUUUUCUCCCCUUGGGAGGGGGUGAAGGGAAGGUUGUGAUGAAAAAUGGGCUCCUGUCCCCAGCCAGGCACAGAGGACCCCGACUGUAAGACAGAGCUCCGCACGGAAGGGCCAGUGCCAUCCCGGGGCCGGCGCCCCUGCACUGCGGCGGCGGCUGGGUCUCACACAUGCCCUCCUAUUCCAAGGCGUAGGUGAGGCACCACGGUGCCUCCAGCUGCCCCCAGAGAUUCGAACCUAAUUAAACGGGGAAACAGGUGUAAGGAGGACCUGAUUUGAUCUGGACAAAUUAAUUGCUGCGAUUGGGCUUGCAUUUGGUGAGUGGAAACAGUAAAUUAACUACAGCCGGCAUCCAGCUAAUCCCUCGGUCUCGCUGUGACUGUGUAUAAAACAGACUGGACUCGCCGGGGAACACGGAUGAAGGGAGCUGUGCCUGCCGGGGAGGUGAGGACACAGCCUUGCAUGGGAAGGGCUGGUGAGCCAGUGGCCGGCUCAGGACAGCCCUGGUGUGCCCCUGGGGUCCCUGCAGCAGGGUGAACAACAAGCCCUUCCGUUUUUCAAAAGUGUAAAUCCUGCGUUUAAGCUGACGUUUUUCAUUUUCUUCUCUCUCUCUUUUUCUUUAUCCCAAGAUGGUGUUAUAGGUUGCAUUGUGCUCCCCCAAAAGAUUUUGAAGUCCCCCCCACCCCCGCACUUGUGAAUGUGACCGUGUGUUGAGACGGACCCUGGGGCUGGCAUUGUGGUGCAGCGGGUUAAGCUGCCGGCUGCAGCGCGGGCAUCCUAUAUGGAACCCAGCUUCAGUCUUGACUGCCCCAUUUCCCAUCCAGCUCUUUGCCAAUGCAUCUGGGAAAGCAGCAGAAGAUGGCCCAAGUCCUUGGGCCCCUGCCACCCACGUAGGAGACCUAGGUACAGUUCCUGGCUGCUGGCUUCAGCCUGGCCCAGCUCUGGCCAUUGAGGCUAUUUAGGGAGUGAACCAGUGGAUGGAAGAUCUCUCUCUCUCUCUCUCUGUCUCUCUCUUUCUCUCUGUGUAACUCUUAAUUUCAAAUAAAGAAAUAAAUCUUAAAGAAAAGAAAAAGUAGGGCUUUUGCAAUGAUCCACUUAAAAUGAGGCCAUUAGGGUGGGCCCUAAUCCGAAACGGCCGUGUCCGUGUUUGGAGGGCACAGAUGGCCACAGGGAGAAUGCCGUGUGGGGAUGAAGGCAGAGACUGGGGUGGUGCAUCGACCAGCCAAGGAGCAGCAAGGAUCACCAGCGAGGCAGCAGAAGCUGGGAGAAGGGUCUGCAGCAGGUCCCGCCUCUCUCUACCCCCCGCCCCAGCCCGCAUGAGGCCCCAACCGUGACCUCAGACUCCCCAGCCUCCCCACGCUGCGACGACAGAUGUCUGCAGCUUCAGCUGCCCACUUUGUGACCUGUUAUUCUGCAGCCCCUAGAAACGAAUUCAAGUGAAUCUGUAACACUCAUGUCUUUUGGCGUUUCCUGUUUUCAGAGCUGAGCCAUUGGGGAAACUGAGGCUGGCUGCAGGAAGAACCAGGGUGUGAAGUCAGCCAAGGAAGCUACAGUGACUUUUCACCACCCCUGAGGCAGGUGCUGAGGGCACAGGGACAGAGAUCCCGGGUUCCUGGCCUCAAGGACCCAGCAGUCUGGGGGUGGGGUCGGGGGCGGGGAUCCACGCUGUGCUGGUGACCUUGUACUUGAUUGCUUAAACGUGACGAGGUCUCAGAGUACCCAGGAGGGAGGGCAACUCACCAUGGAGGGACUUGAGGGAGUUCCCUAUGCUGGACUGAAACAAGUUAGGUGGAUUAAGUUCCCCUCGCAGACAUGGCAGGGCAUUCCAGAACAUUCUACUGCACACCUUGCCUCGGCCUCUUGCCCCAGAGGAGCCAGGUGUCACGUCCUUGGACCUUGGACCUCACAUGCAGAACCUACCGUGGGCGCCAUCUUGAAUUUAGGCUUUCACUGCCUUGGCUAGAGUUGGAAGAAGUAAUGUAAUCCCUAGAUCUGAUAGAAGGCUUCUAUUUUUGAAUACUAACUUGAUCUCGUAGGUGCUGCCCAGUGAAAAGAGGCAGUGGACAGUGCUAUUUUUCAAAAUGAAUGUCUAAGUUAAGGUCACCAUUGCUCUUCUCCAGUUGGCUUCUAUUAUCUGUCCUGGUGGGCCCAGGACAAAACGUUUUGGUAAAGCAAAACUGGGCUCUGACUUUGUAGGCAUGGCAUGUAUUAUGUAAGCGUACAGGUCUGCAUUUCAAAAUGAAAAAUAACAAUAAUAAUUAAAGUUUCUCUGGACUCCUCGUGUCCAAACCACUCUUGCAAAACCACCUUUGGAAGCGCUUUAAGUGUCAGCAAAUCAGAAACAUGUGGAUUUAAUUUCCUUUGGAAUACACUAGAGGGAGAGGGGGCAGUGGGACUUGGCAGCCAGCUUCUUAGGGUUUGCCAAACCCCAAAUAUCUCACACUCUGUGAGAGCCGUUCUGCUGGCCCCCAGCAGUCUCGUCUGGCCAGUGCAGCGCCUGCAUUUCUCGCAUCGCCAUCUAGGCCGUCUCUAACCUUAUGCUGUUCUUUGGGUCUGAUUCGGGUGCAAGGAGGACGCAGGACCUGUGUGCUGCAACAGGACUUUGGAAGGAGGAGCAGUACCGCAGUGAGGUGUCAGGUUGGCCAAGCCUCGUCUGGACCAGCAGGCCGUCGUUUCAGCCCAUUACUGUGUCUUGAAAACCGGCACCAAUGGUGGGAGAGGUUUCCAACUUGAUUUCUGGAUCAAAACAAUAAUUUGAUUUUUUUGGGGGGGGGAAUGAUAGUGUCAAGGUCCCCAUGGGUCAGGUUUCUGGAUCACCUGACACUCAGGCAUAUAACGUGCCCCAGUCCCAGCUCAGCAAAGAGCACAGCCACCUUCCGGCUAGAGCCCAAGGCCACGUGGGCUCACAAACCUCUGGGGGAGAGCAGGGGGAGUUUUCUCUAGAGGAGCUGAAAGUUCUGACAUCUCCAGGACUCACAGAUCCUGACUGACUCCCUGGAGAGUAAGUUUGUGUUAACAAGGUCUAUAGCACCGUUUGGCCCGUGAGUUUUUCUUUGUUGAUACGAAAGCCUCUUUCUCCGUCUUAUAUUUUCUAUGUCCCACAGUCCCUUUCACCCAAAAUAAUAAUAUACAUCAAAAGCAACAAGUAAUCAAAACUUAUAAAAGUCCUUUUUUUUUUUUUU